CCGCAGUGCCGUAGUUAACACAAUAAGCACUCCGCCUGGGGAGUACGGUCGCAAGACUGAAACUCAAAGGAAUUGACGGGGGCCCGCACAAGCGGUGGAGUAUGUGGUUUAAUUCGACGCAACGCGAAGAACCUUACCAGGGCUUGACAUCCUCUGAAAGCCAUAGAGAUAUGGACCUUACCCUUCGGGGUAACAGAGAGACAGGUGGUGCAUGGUUGUCGUCAGCUCGUGUCGUGAGAUGUUGGGUUAAGUCCCGCAACGAGCGCAACCCCUAACAUUAGUUGCCAGCGAGUAAGUCGGGAACUCUAAUGUGACUGCCGUUGACAAAACGGAGGAAGGUGGGGAUGACGUCAAAUCAUCAUGCCCCUUAUGUCCUGGGCUACACACGUACUACAAUGGCCGGUACAGACGGAAGCGAAGCCGUGAGGCGGAGCAAAACUGAGAAAGCCGGUCCCAGUUCGGAUUGUAGUCUGCAACUCGACUACAUGAAGUCGGAAUCGCUAGUAAUCGCAGGUCAGCAUACUGCGGUGAAUACGUUCCCGGGCCUUGUACACACCGCCCGUCACACCACGAAAGCUGACAACACCCGAAGCCGGUGASUUAACCGUAAGGAGRSAGCCGUCGAAGGUGGGGUUGGUGAUUGGGGUGAAGUCGUAACAAGGUAGCCGUAUCGGAAGGUGCGGCUGGAUCACCUCCUUUCUAAGGAG
rnacentral:rRNA from 2 species